GGCCUGCAGGAGGGCCAAGAAGCAUCAGUCCUGGCACUUCCGCUCUGCCAGGUGCUGGCUGUGCCACGAAGGCUCUCCUUUGGGAGGCUAACGCCUGUCCAACCUACCUCACCACAGCUGCUCACGCUGCGAAGGGUCAUUACCUGGGGCCACCUCCUCCAGCUGCCUCUCCCUGGGCAGGAGUGAGUCACAGGGGGUUGGCCCGGGAGGGCUGCCGUGCCUGUGUGUGAACCGAGGGCGCGUGGACUCACUCUUCCACAUUCUCAAGUCGGCCCAGCAGCACACCACGCCGGGCUCACCACCUGUUCUGAGCCUUGGGGCUGUUGUAGGGCAGACUAGGCCCUGUCCUGCACUUGCCUUACCCUGGGCUGACCUUCGCCCCUGCGGGCCAUCACUGGACUCCACUGACUCCUGAGAAACAUUAAACAAGCUUCCUUCCUU